AGAGUAUUCUUCGUAGGUGACCUGCGGAAGGAUCAUUA
rnacentral:rRNA from 1 species